rnacentral:rRNA from 1 species
GGGUGACGCAGGAAGGUAGCUGUACCGGUUAGUGGUUAUACCGGAGCAAGCCCGUAGGACGACAUCUAGGCAAAUCC